rnacentral:miRNA from 17 species
AAACCGUUACCAUUACUUGUUU